CCUACGGGAGGCAGCAGUGAGGAAUAUUGGUCAAUGGGCGCGAGCCUGAACCAGCCAAGUAGCGUGAAGGAUGACUGCCCUACGGGUUGUAAACUUCUUUUAUAAAGGAAUAAAGUGAGGCACGUGUGCCUUUUUGUAUGUACUUUAUGAAUAAGGAUCGGCUAACUCCGUGCCAGCAGCCGCGGUAAUACGGAGGAGCCGAGCGUUAUCCGGAUUUAUUGGGUUUAAAGGGCGCGUAGAUGGGUUGUUAAGUCAGUUGUGAAAGUUUGCGGCUCAACCGCAAAAUUGCAAUUGAUACUGGCAGCCUUGAGUACAGUAGAGGUAGGCGGAAUUCGUAGUGUAGCGGUGAAAUGCGUAGAUAUCACGAAGAACUCCGAUUGCGAAGGCAGCCUACUAGACUGCCACUGACGGUGAUGCUCGAAAGUGUGGGGAUCAAACAGGAUUAGAUACCCCUGUAGUC
rnacentral:rRNA from 1 species